GACGAACGCUGGCGGCGUGCUUAACACAUGCAAGUCGAACGAUGAAGCUGGAGCUUGCUCCGGUGGAUUAGUGCCGAACGGGUGAGUAACACGUGAGCAAUCUGCCCUUGACUCUGGGAUAACUGCGGGAAACUGUAGCUAAUACCGGAUACGACACCUUGGGGCAUCCCAGGGUGUGGAAAGAAUUUCGGUCAAGGAUGAGCUCGCGGCCUAUCAGCUAGUUGGUGAGGUAAUGGCUCACCAAGGCGACGACGGGUAGCCGGCCUNAGAGGGUGACCGGCCACACUGGAACUGAGACACGGUCCAGACUCCUACGGGAGGCAGCAGUGGGGAAUAUUGCACAAUGGACGAAGUACUGAUGCAGCAACGCCGCGUGAGGAAUGAAGGCCUUCGGGUUGUAAACCUCUUUUAGCAGGGAAGAAGCGAAA
rnacentral:rRNA from 1 species